rnacentral:lncRNA from 1 species
AAACCUAGGGUUUCUUGGCCGCCAACCCGAAAAGGAAAGAAAAGAAUCAGCACUGCCUUUUUUGCAUGCCACUAUUUUGAGUACCCCCUCUUGGCUGCCCAAGAGGAGUUUCAGGUCCUAAUUUUUUUGAUUUUAGAGGCUUCAUCAAGUGUGCUUCCAGAUUCCAAAAGGUGGAUUUCAGAUCUGAUGGAGAAGGGGUUCAAAUCGAAGAAAGAAAUCCUACCGACAGGAUUUACAAGACUGCUGCAACC